rnacentral:rRNA from 1 species
UCCCAAAAUAUAUGUUAAGUGGAAAAGGAUGUGGCGUUGCCCAGACAACUAGGAUGUUGGCUUAGAAGCAGCCAUCAUUUAAAGAGUGCGUAAUAGCUCACUAGUCGAGUGACACUGCGCCGAAAAUGUACCGGGGCUAAACAUAUUACCGAAGCUGUGGAUUGUCCUUUGGACAAUGGUAGGAGAGCGUUCUAAGGGCGUUGAAGCAUGAUCGUAAGGACAUGUGGAGCGCUUAGAAGUGAGAAUGCCGGUGUGAGUAGCGAAAGACGGGUGAGAAUCCCGUCCACCGAUUGACUAAGGUUUCCAGAGGAAGGCUCGUCCGCUCUGGGUUAGUCGGGUCCUAAGCUGAGGCCGACAGGCGUAGGCGAUGGAUAACAGGUUGAUAUUCCUGUACCACCUAUAAUCGUUUUAAUCGAUGGGGGGACGCAGUAGGAUAG